rnacentral:snRNA from 1 species
AGCUUUGCGCAGUGGCAGUAUCAUAGCCAAUGAGGUUUAUCCGAGGCGCGAUUAUUGCUAAUUGAAAAGAGCCAUAAUGAAAAAAAAGAGCCAUAAUGGGUGGCAAUUGUCACUUUGAAAAAUACUGGAUUGCCAAGUCUUUUUUUUUUUGGAUUGCCAA